GGGUCAGUAGGUUGGUCGUGCCACCGGUACGUACUGGUCUCACUGAUUCCUCCUUCCUGAAGAACCGUAAUGCCAUUAAUUUGGUGUUGCGGGGAGACAGGACUGUUACUUUGAAAGAAUUAGAGUGUUUAAAGCAAGCUAACGCUUGAAUACAUUAGCACGGAAUAAUGAAAUAGGACGAUCGAUCCUAUUUUGUUGGUUUCUAGGAUUGACGUA
rnacentral:rRNA from 1 species